rnacentral:lncRNA from 1 species
AACGGAUCUCAUCAGCUACCCUUUCUUUCUUAUCACAAAUAAGUCUUUCUUUCAUUCUUCAUGGACAAUAAAUACAUCAUCAGAUCAAACCUCUCUCAAAUCAUCAUCAUCAUCAUAUCAUUCAAUUUAUGGGGAUUCAUGGCCUUUUUUUCUUUGCAACAUACAUUGAAAAGACUAAAGAGAGAGAAAAAAAAAAAAAAGAUGUAGAUCUGAUGUCAAUGUUCAUUCCGAUGAGAUUAGAUUCAUGGUGUCAACAUACCAUCAGCAAGGAUGAUAGACUUGGCUAUGGUCUAUUUUGAACGAACCAUAUAUAUAGAAAAGUGAUACAAGGUAUAAAUUUAUCAUUGCUAUUGAAAUAUCAAAGAAUUUAUCACAUACUUUUGAAUUUGUUUUUGCUGGUUGAAUCUGAUGCUCACCCAUGACCCAAUCCUUAUUAGGAUUUGAUACAAUAAAAUCCCAGCAUUUGUUUUGGGGUUUGGGGAUGUUAAAAGAUCUACGAUUCAAGUACACUUACCCACAAGUAUGAAGGAUUUUUGCAUUGUUGUUUAUCCUUAUUUUUCCUAGGUUUAUUUUGAUUUUAGCCAUGAUUUAAUUAUCUUUAGCUCUAUCCAUAAUUGUAAGUAAUUUUUGUUUACGCAUGAUUCAAAUAUUUUAAUUAACUUUAGCAAUAAUUCAAUUAUUUAAUUUAAUUUUAGUCAUGAUUCAGUUUCAGCCAUGAAUCAAUUAUUUUCCUAAGUCUUAUUUCAGAGUUUUCCUGAGUUUUUUUGUGUGACUUUCAAUUUCCUGAUUUUGUUUGAGCCAUUGGUUUUCUGUUUAUUCCAAUGAUUUUGUGAUGUUAUAAUUAAUUCCCUAGUUUGUGUUUGAAAUUGAUUAAUUGCUUAUUCGGUUUCUCAAAUUCUCUAUUUGACAACCCAAUUUCACUUAUGCUGAAUCAGAUCUACCUAUAUUUGAUUUAGGCAGUUCAAAGUACAUAAUAAAUUUGCACCAUUUUUUUUUUUUUUUUUGCCGUUAGAGAUUGGAUCUAUGCACACCAGUAUCUUCUCCCUUCCUAUCUACUAAAACCACUACUGCCACCACCCACAACCACCCACAGUAGUCGUGUCCUCUUCAUAUAUAUUUUUCUUUCAUACCUUCAUCCUGUAUUAAUACGCUUUUUUGCAAAAUUAUUGUGUGCCACUCACUAAAACAUCACGAACAAUUUGAGAGGUUUAUUUUUUUCUAAGCUCCUUGUUUUGUAAUUAGCUUAUAUCAUUAUCUUGUUGAUGGCAAGGCAGCAGCUGUCAUAUGUAGUCCAUCGCUCAAUGAUUUUGGCCUUGCAAUAAGGCUGCAAUUUAUGUUGGUAGCGGUGCUGGUUGUCUAGAGUGAAUUAGUCAAGGAAAAUAGAAACAAAGCUAGCAAACCCACCUCAUUGAAGGAAUUGGUCAGUCUCUUAUGUUACUCCAAUAGCCUUCAUGUAUAGUAUGGUACCCUGCUUCUCUCAAAUGGUUUCUAGAAUCCCACUUAAAUAAAUCUUUAAGAGAGUUACUAUUUUCCACUCAGAUUCUACAAAACCUGAUGUGAGAUUAAGUGCCAACUCCCCAGGAAUAACAAAAGAGUCCAACAUCAAUGUGAUAGUUUAUGAACCCGGUGUUUGCCUUUCAGACCUCUGGGCUGAAGGUUAGAGGGGAACAAUUACAACGCAGGUGUAUAAUAAUGUAACUAUUAAUAGUUCAUAUGAUAUUAUAUUAUGGAAGCAAUACACAAUUAAAGAGUAUUGUAGUAUCAAAUACUUCAGGAAAACAGCUAAAUGUUUAAAUUGCGAAAAAGAACUUGCAUUUCACAGAUAUCAUGGAGUGAUAAGAGAUAAAAUAUGAUAAUAUGAUAAUGGUCAGAAGUAGUAGUAUGAAGUUUAAUACAAAGAUAUAGACCUCAACUCUUUUAGCAGUAGUAGAAGUUUAAUGGUCAGAAGUAGUAGUAUGAAGUUUAAUACGAAGAAUUAAAAGACAUGACUAAGGCACUGUUGAGAAAUUCUCCUUUAGCUUGGCAGGCAAUGGAUCUUCUUUGGCAUCCAUGCUCUGGUCGCACUCUUGAGUUGCCUUCUUCGAUAAUGUAUCUGCAAUAAUGUUUUUGUUCCCACUUAGCCAGACCCAUUGAACAUCUUGUAGUGAUUCGACCAUCCUGAUUAUUUCCUUAACUUGUUCUUCAUACUUUGCUUGAUCCUUAGUCAAACCUGAUAUACCAUUUGCAGCUACUGCUUUCAUAAUAAGUAUAGCGUGCUCACUAUCGGACCUUAUUAUCAAGUAGUGUUGUUUUGCUUUUAUAGCCUCUCGCAGUCCAUUUUCUAUAGCUUUUAACUCUGCAUACAGUGUUUCCCCUGUUCUUGUGGGUUCUAAAGAGUAGAACCAUCUCUUGAGCUUCUCAUUAACAAGUAAAUACCCACCCGUGGACAUAUUUUCCACUGGCCUAGGUGUGUACAGCCCGUCCACCGUUACAAUUGCAUAAUGGUUCCCCCACUUUUUCCACAACCACCACUUAUGUCCAUUUUUGCUUUUUCAAAUGGUUUUCCGUCUUCUUUGAAGAGUAGUUUCUGGCCUGUAUGAACAAAAUCAAUAAGAAUAAAAUAAAUCACUUUGUAUUGAACUCUUAUUUUAGUUACAAGACUAAGAAAGAAUGUAACAUGAAAAAAAAAAAAAAAAUUAACCUGAAAGUGACUAGAUGAACUAGAAGAUGAUGAUGGAAUUGCAAGUGUUGGUGAAGCUAGCAGAGGAGCCUGGUGUCUCUCUGCUACAAAUUAAUCAACAAAAACAGAAUUUUGUAAUAGGGAUUCAUGGUUUUUCUUCCCCUUUUGCAUCAUACGUAGUGAAGAACAAAAUUAUGUAGAUUAACAAUAAGAUUAUGCUACAUACUAGGUGAGAUUAAAUUCAACUAUACCAAAAAGUCUAUUUAUUCAACUAUAUUAAAAAUCAUAUUGGAAUCACAUAUUAGAUUAUAUAUUUGUGUUUCACAAAUGACAAGAACCUUAAUAAAAUUUAGAAAUUUUUUACCUGAAUGUGUGAUUGAGCGAUUACUCUUGGUGAGUUGGGUUAGAAAUCCAAGUUUGAAGAUCUUCUUGAACCUUGCCCACAUUUUGAGAGAGUAGUAGAGAGAAUUGAGAGAGAGCGAGUGUGUGUGAGAGAGAAAAUUGAGAGUAUGCCUAUAUGUAUAUUAGUGUUGUGCUAGAAGAUGUAUUAUAUAGAAGAAAUUAUUUUUUAUUUUUUUAAUAAAUAAAAUUUUAUUAAAAAAUUAUUCGUCAAAUUAUUUUUAAAUAAACUAAAAUUUCCAAAAUCCGACUUUUAGUAAAGCGUUUAUCCCUUAAUUUUAUUUUAUUUUUGCAAGCAAAAUUGUAAUGAAGAAUACAUAAUAAUAAUUAAAAAAAAAAAAAAACUAUAGUAUAGUAUAUUUUUUUAUUUUUUUGCUAAAUAGUGUAAUUUUGUUUUCUUAGAGCUAGAUGUCACGUAAAUUCGAUGAAGCUAGGUUUCUGCAUGAAGUCUUCAUUUCUGCACAAAGUCUUCAUUUCUGCAUGAAGUCUUCAUUUCUGCACAAAGUCUUCAUUCAUACCAAAAUGACAUUAUGCCCAAAUAGCUUUGAUAGUGUAUGUGCUUGGUCCAGAGAAAACACGUCAAAUUGAUUGUACCCUAUUUAUGUGCUUAACAAUUGUACCAUUACAUUGGCCAGUGAAUAUGAGUUUUAAAAUGUAAACUACUUUACAUUAAAAUGUAAACUCGGUGUCCAAAGAGAGCCAGCUUGUCCACAUGUAGACUCGUAGUGAUGGUAGAAUUAUUUUGAGAAGGAUUAUGUUUGUCAUGACCGAUUGAUGACUGAUUGAAGAUGAGAGAUGUCAUUCAAUACAUUUGCAUGAUCAUGGAUUUACUUGUGUAAAGAAAGACCACAGGAUUACAGAACUGUUGGAUGGGUGGAAAGAGUGGGGAAUGCAGCCUGCAGUCUGGGUUGGGUUUGAAUGGAUGAACUAUAAAUGUGCAGAUGUGUUAUGGUGGCUCAGGCAACUGGGCUCUUGGGGUAGUAAAGAUCAGAGAUCAUUUUAAUUUUUUUCUUGUUUCUUGGUAGCCCAAUUCAGGGGCCAUGUACUGUGUACAACUCUCUCAUGUACUGAGUAUUUGCAACAAGGAAAAGGGAUGAGUAUAUUUUACCUGGUAAAAAUAAAAGUAUAUUUGGUUGUGAGAUUUCUGACAAACAAAAUUCAGUGUUCCAGUUUGACUGUUGAAAUAUUAGUGAGGCAUUACCCUCCGCCCUAAUCAAAGAUAGCUUUCCAACUUUGAGAAGCCAGAGCUUAAAAGACGACUUAGUUUCUUUUAAAAUUUCUUUACCUCCACCAUGACAACU